rnacentral:rRNA from 1 species
UAGAGUUUGAUCAUGGCUCAGAACGAACGCUGGCGGCAGGCCUAACACAUGCAAGUCGAGCGCACCUUCGGGUGAGCGGCGGACGGGUUAGUAACGCGUGGGAACGUGCCCUUUUCUGCGGAAUAGCCACUGGAAACGGUGAGUAAUACCGCAUACGCCCUUCGGGGGAAAGAUUUAUCGGAGAAGGAUCGGCCCGCGUUAGAUUAGGUAGUUGGUGGGGUAAUGGCCUACCAAGCCUACGAUCUAUAGCUGGUUUGAGAGGAUGAUCAGCAACACUGGGACUGAGACACGGCCCAGACUCCUACGGGAGGCAGCAGUGGGGAAUCUUAGACAAUGGGGGCAACCCUGAUCUAGCCAUGCCGCGUGAGUGAUGAAGGCCUUAGGGUCGUAAAGCUCUUUCGCUGGGGAUGAUAAUGACAGUACCCAGUAAAGAAACCCCGGCUAACUCCGUGCCAGCAGCCGCGGUAAUACGGAGGGGGUUAGCGUUGUUCGGAAUUACUGGGCGUAAAGCGCACGUAGGCGGACUGGAAAGUUAGAGGUGAAAUCCCGGGGCUCAACCCCGGAACUGCCUUUAAAACUAUCAGUCUAGAGUUCGAGAGAGGUGAGUGGAAUUCCGAGUGUAGAGGUGAAAUUCGUAGAUAUUCGGA